rnacentral:rRNA from 1 species
CCUAAUACAUGCAAGUCGAGCGCAGGAAACCAGAUGACCCCUUCGGGGUGAUUCUGGCGGAAUGAGCGGCGGACGGGUGAGUAACACGUGGGCAACCUGCCUGUAAGACUGGGAUAACUUCGGGAAACCGGAGCUAAUACCGGAUAGUAUUUCCUUUCUCCUGAUUGGAAAUGGAAAGACGGUUUCGGCUGUCACUUACAGAUGGGCCCGCGGUGCAUUAGCUAGUUGGUGGGGUAAUGGCCCACCAAGGCGACGAUGCAUAGCCGACCUGAGAGGGUGAUCGGCCACACUGGGACUGAGACACGGCCCAGACUCCUACGGGAGGCAGCAGUAGGGAAUCUUCCGCAAUGGACGAAAGUCUGACGGAGCAACGCCGCGUGAGCGAUGAAGGCCUUCGGGUCGUAAAGCUCUGUUGUUAGGGAAGAACAAGUACGAGAGUAACUGCUCGUACCUUGACGGUACCUAACCAGAAAGCCCCGGCUAACUACGUGCCAGCAGCCGCGGUAAUACGUAGGGGGCAAGCGUUGUCCGGAAUUAUUGGGCGUAAAGGGCUCGUAGGCGGUUUCUUAAGUCUGAUGUGAAAGCCCACAGCUCAACUGUGGAGGGUCAUUGGAAACUGGGGAACUUGAGUGCAGAAGAGGAGAGUGGAAUUCCACGUGUAGCGGUGAAAUGCGUAGAUAUGUGGAGGAACACCAGUGGCGAAGGCGACUCUCUGGUCUGUAACUGACGCUGAGGAGCGAAAGCGUGGGGAGCAAACAGGAUUAGAUACCCUGGUAGUCCACGCCGUAAACGAUGAGUGCUAGUGUUAGGGGGUUUCCGCCCCUUAGUGCUGAAGUUAACGCAUUAAGCACUCCGCCUGGGAGUACGGGCCGCAAAGGCUGAAACUCAAAAGAAUUGACGGGGGCCCGCACAAGCGGUGGAAGCAUGUGGUUUUAAA